rnacentral:lncRNA from 1 species
UGCCUGAGCUGGCAUCCUCUUCCUCCUGUCGGCGGGAGGUGUGGAUCACCUACUGCGUGCGGGGAACAAACGCCGCCCCAGUACCGGUCCCUGCAGCGGAGUAGCCUUCACCUGCAAGGUGAACGCCUGCUCACCACGUAAUCCCCAAACGCAGAUAUCACGUUGUCUCUGCAACUUUCCCUGACAACCACCCAAUGCAAUUAAUUAUCCCACAAUAGUAUCUCCCGCAGGCUCUCUGUAGAACCAUAGAAUUCAUCCAUCAAAAUACAAUCAUUUGUUGAUCCGUCUCUCUCUGCCGCCCCCAAAUGUGAAUUCCUUGAGUCAGAGACUAUUCUACUCAGCAAAACAUUUGUGAGUGGAAUUAAAUUGAAAUAAACCGUUAUAGUCCACUCACAGAUGGAAAACACAUAGUAAAAUCCUAGAAUUCCAUUUCUCCCCUGAAAAUUUCCCAGACAGUCAGAGGGAGUUUCAUUCUUUCCUGUUUACUUUUCUCCCAAAUAGGCCUUCUGAGGCAGCAGAAUAGGGAAGGAAGUCAGAAGACUGACCAGCUCAUACCUAUGGAAUGCCUAUCAUACAUACACUUAAAAUUAUGGCAAGCUCACGCAGGCGCACUAAGAGAGAAAAAACAAGAAAACAGAUAUGACAAUUAUAGGAAAUCCCCUCCCUAGAGUUAAAGAAGUGUAGGAAGUGGGUAUAAAAGAACAAAGGCUAUAUUAAUCCAGGGCUGACACCACUUGAAGAUAAGCCCGUUCCUCUCUCUGGUAUAUUCUUUGCUUAAUAAAUCUUGUGGGGUGGUUAUUUGUGUGUCUCAUCCAAUUCUUUGUUCAUAACACCAAGAACCUGGAACUCCCAACUUCCAAUCUGGUAACAUAUUUUGGUGAGCCAGCCAGGAGGGUCAAGCCUGCAAUACCUAAAGCUCCAGACCUGGAACCCAAAGCUCCCAUCAGUCGCUACCCUGUGAACCUGUGGAGGAUCUGAAGUACCUGUUUAAAAGGCAUCCAAAAGAUAGAAUCUAUCAAGCUACAAAUGGCUAUGUUGCCUGAAGCCCCAGACAUCAUCCUACAAGAAAUAAGUCCAGACUUCUUAAUUUCCCCCUGGAUAGAGCAGGCCACCACGCUGUAAGAAAGCACAAAGUCUUCAUAGAGAAACCAUCUGGAGGGACCUCAAGCUCCCAGCCAACAGCCAGUCCUGCAAGAGGAGUGUUCAGCUGAGUUCAGUCCCAACCUGAGUUGCAUCAACUGAGCUUUCAGACAUCAUGGAGCAAAGACAAAGCCAUCUCUGCUGGGCCUGAAUCCUAGGCCACAUAAUACACAAGCAAAACAAAAUGGCUGUUUUCCCCCCAUUGCAGUUUGGGGUGAUACUGUGGCCUGGGUGAAGACAUCGUAUCCUCUGUGUGUAACAGUGAUAAGAAGGCUUACCUCGCAGGGUUAUUACAAGACAAAUGAAAUAACUUUGGCACACUAUUAAAGGCUUCGUGGAUAAUUAAAGCUUCACAAAAACCUUGAUGAGAUUCCCUCUAUCCUCAGAAAAUGUAUGUGUGUGUGACGGUGUAGGGGUGGGGUGGGGGUUGGAUAGGAGGCAGCAAGAGAAAUGGAUUCCUUUCUCGUCCUUUUCUCAGAUCAAGGAUAUUGUACAAUUUCAUCCAUUCACCCUGGGUAUUUGAGUUUGAGUUCCCAAUCAUUGCCAAGAAACACACCAUUGAUUCAUUUAUUUUCAU